rnacentral:lncRNA from 1 species
UGACCUAUUUCAAGAUGAUAUAGUAAAACAGGCUUUUAAACAGGCUAACAGGCCAGGCCAGGCUUUUAAACAGGUCAGGCCUAGGCUUUGAAAUUUUUUUUAAACAGGCUAACAGGCCAGGCCCAGGCUCCUACAUACUAUAUAGGCUGGGCCUGUUUAAGGCAAAGCCUGGCCUGCCCUGUUUCCACCCUUACAGAGGACCCUAGAACUUGUUUCAUAGUUUUAAAUUGUCAAAAUAUGUCCAUAUGUAUCAUCUACAAUAUGUCUAGGGUCUUUUUUUACAGUUUCCAUAUGAACUUAAAGGUUUAUAAAAUACUAUUGAGAAUCCUAAUGGUAACAUGAGGUUGAAUGCCUCACCGGGAAC